UGACCUCAAAUCAGGUAGGACUACCCGCUGAACUUAAGCAUAUCAAUAAGCCGAGGAAAAGAAACUAACAAGGAUUCCCCUAGUAACUGCCGUGAAGCGGGAAAAGCUCAAAUUUGAAAUCUGGCAGUUUUUGACUGUCCGUUGUAAUCUAGAGAAGUGUUACCUGUGCAGGACCAUGUACAAGUCUCCUGGAAUGGAGCAUCAUAGAGGGUGAGAAUCC
rnacentral:rRNA from 1 species